AAUGAACGCUGGCGGCGUGCCUAACACAUGCAAGUCGAACGAGAAAACCCCUUCGGGGGUGAGUAGAGUGGCAAACGGGUGAGUAACGCGUGAGAAUUUACCCCUAAGUGAAGGAUACCCUCGAGAAAUCGCGGUUAAUACUGCAUACGUCCUUCCGAGGAGAAAGGGGGCCGCUUGCUCCCGCUAAGGGAUAGGCUUGCGUACUAUUAGCUAGUUGGUAGGGUAAUGGCCUACCAAGGCGAUGAUGGUUAGCCGACCUGAGAGGGUGAUCGGCCACAUUGGGACUGAGAUACGGCCCAGACUCCUACGGGAGGCAGCAGUGGGGAAUCUUGCACAAUGGGCGCAAGCCUGAUGCAGCGACGCCGCGUGGAGGAUGAAGGUCUUCGGAUUGUAAACUCCUGUUAGGUGGGAAGAAAGAGAUGCGGGUAAUAUCCGUAUUUGGUGACGGUACCACUAAAAAAAGCACCGGCUAACUUCGUGCCAGCAGCCGCAGUAACAC
rnacentral:rRNA from 1 species